rnacentral:rRNA from 1 species
AUUGAACGCUGGCGGCAUGCCUUACACAUGCAAGUCGAACGGCAGCAUGAUCUAGCUUGCUAGAUUGAUGGCGAGUGGCGAACGGGUGAGUAAUACAUCGGAACGUGCCCUGUAGUGGGGGAUAACUAGUCGAAAGAUUAGCUAAUACCGCAUACGACCUGAGGGUGAAAGUGGGGGACCGCAAGGCCUCAUGCUAUAGGAGCGGCCGAUGUCUGAUUAGCUAGUUGGUGAGGUAAAGGCUCACCAAGGCGACGAUCAGUAGCUGGUCUGAGAGGACGAUCAGCCACACUGGGACUGAGACACGGCCCGGAAUCCUACGGGAGGAAGCAGUGGGGAAUUUUGGACAAUGGGGGCAACCCUGAUCCAGCAAUGCCGCGUGUGUGAAGAAGGCCUUCGGGUUGUAAAGCACUUUUGUCCGGAAAGAAAUCGCACUUACUAAUAUUAGGUGUGGAUGACGGUACCGGAAGAAUAAGGACCGGCUAACUACGUGCCAGCCGCCGCCGUAACAC